rnacentral:rRNA from 1 species
UACGUAGGGGCAAGCGUUGUCCGGAUUAUUGGCGUAAAGUAGCGUGUAGGCGGCCAGGUAGGUCUGCUGUGAAAAACUCCGGAGGCCUUCAACCCUGAGCUGUCGGCGGAAACCAUCUGGCUAGAGUCCGGAAGAGGAGAAUGGAAUUCCCGGUGUAGCGGUGAAAUGCGCAGAUAAUCGGGAAGAACACCCGUGGCGAAGGCGGUUCUCUGGGACGGUACUGACGCUGAGACGCGAAAGCGUGGGGAGCAAACAGG